GAUGAACGCUGGCGGCGUGCCUAAUACAUGCAAGUCGAGCGAACGGACGAGAAGCUUGCUUCUCUGAUGUUAGCGGCGGACGGGUGAGUAACACGUGGAUAACCUACCUAUAAGACUGGGAUAACUUCGGGAAACCGGAGCUAAUACCGGAUAAUAUUUUGAACCGCAUGGUUCAAAAGUGAAAGACGGUCUUGCUGUCACUUAUAGAUGGAUCCGCGCUGCAUUAGCUAGUUGGUAAGGUAACGGCUUACCAAGGCAACGAUGCAUAGCCGACCUGAGAGGGUGAUCGGCCACACUGGAGCUGAGACACGGUCCAGACUCCUACGGGAGGCAGCAGUAGGGAAUCUUCCGCAAUGGGCGAAAGCCUGACGGAGCAACGCCGCGUGAGUGAUGAAGGUCUUCGGAUCGUAAAACUCUGUUAUUAGGGAAGAACAUAUGUGUAAGUAACUGUACACAUCUUGACGGUACCUAAUCAGAAAGCCACGGCUAACUACGUG
rnacentral:rRNA from 1 species